UAUAUGACUACAACGAUUAUAGGAAGUAUGCUUAAAUGCUUUGGCACCUUGAAAUGUCAAAUCAGGUACUUCGAACUGAAGAGAUAGACAAAUGGGGAGUGGAGAUGUAUAUCAACAGAGGUUUAUAUAGACUGUAAAAUUAGAUUUCGAAAUUUGAAUAUUAUCUUGGAAGCAUGAAGCUGCUGGAAACCUUUCACUUUCCAAGAGCACAAUCAAUAGCUGAUUAUUUCGAAGCAUUUAAUGCUAUAUAUACAGAUGUAAAAUAUGUAUGUGUCUAUCUGUA